rnacentral:rRNA from 1 species
AGUGAACGCUGGCGGUAGGCCUAACACAUGCAAGUCGAACGGCAGCACAGUAAGCGCUUGCUCUUACGGGUGGCGAGUGGCGGAUGGGUGAGGAAUACAUCGGCAUCUACUUUUUCUUGGGGGAUACCGUAGGGCAACUUACGCUAAUACCGCAUACGACCUACGGGUGAAAGCAGGGGAUCUUCGGACCUUGCGCGAUUGAAUGAGCUGAUGUCGGAUUGGCUAGUUGGCGGGGUAAAGGCCCACCAAGGCGACGAUCCGUAGCUGGUCUGAGAGGAUGGGCGGCAACAUUGGAACUGAGACACGGUCAGGAAUCCUACGGGAGGCAGAAGUAGGGAAUCUUUCGGAAUGGGCGAAGGCUGGACGGAGCAAUGCCGCGUGAGUGAUGAAGGUCUUCGGAUCGUAAACCUCUGUUAUGAGGGAAGAACAAAUGUGUACGUAAAUGUGCACGUCUUGACGGGAACUAAUCAGAAAGCCACGGCUAACUACGUG